CGGGACGGGUGAGUAAUGUCUGGGAAACUGCCUGAUGGAGGGGGAUAACUACUGGAAACGGUAGCUAAUACCGCAUAACGUCGCAAGACCAAAGAGGGGGACCUUCGGGCCUCUUGCCAUCGGAUGUGCCCAGAUGGGAUUAGCUAGUAGGUGGGGUAAAGGCUCACCUAGGCGACGAUCCCUAGCUGGUCUGAGAGGAUGACCAGCCACACUGGAACUGAGACACGGUCCAG
rnacentral:rRNA from 1 species